AUGGCUGGCUCCGGCUCAAGCUCGUCCACAACAGGCGAAGGGUGCCCCAUUAUGUGCUCCAUUGCCGAGUGCACUUCCGCAGGGGAGUUGCUUAUGACGAUAAAGAGCCAGUUCACUGGCUCUUCAAAGAUAUAUGCCACCCAAGUGUUAGAGCAACUAGUGACACAACGCUACACAGGUGGUAGUCAUGGAAUAAGAGAGCACAUCCUGAGGAUGAGCAAUAUGGCAGCAAAGCUAAAGCCCAUGGAUGAGGAUCUGGAUAUCAAACCAAAGCUCCUGGUCCACCUAGUCAUGGCUUCACUACCAAAGGAGUUCAAAACUUUUGUUGUAAACUAUAAUAUGUCACCUGGAACAUGGGGCAUUGAAAAGACAAUAGCAAUGUGUGUCCAAGAAGAGGACAGACUCAAAGCCGCACAUGGUGGUUCACUCAACUAUGUGAAGGAUUACAAGAAAAAGAACUACAAUCAAAACAACAAAAGUUCUCCUUCAAAGCAUGGAAAAGCUCCAUAUCAGCAUCAGCAUCAGCAACAAACUUUCUCAGUGGACAAAGACACUUGUCUCCACUGCAAGCAGAAAGGGCAUUACAAGAAAAACUGA
rnacentral:rRNA from 1 species